rnacentral:rRNA from 1 species
UUUUAUGGAGAGUUUGAUCCUGGCUCAGAGUGAACGCUGGCGGCGUGCCUAAUACAUGCAAGUCGAACGAUGAAGCUUUUAGCUUGCUAGAAGUGGAUUAGUGGCGCACGGGUGAGUAAGGUAUAGUUAAUCUGCCCUACACAAGAGGACAACAGUUGGAAACGACUGCUAAUACUCUAUACUCCUGCUUAACACAAGUUGAGUAGGGAAAGUUUUUCGGUGUAGGAUGAGACUAUAUAGUAUCAGCUAGUUGGUAAGGUAAUGGCUUACCAAGGCUAUGACGCUUAACUGGUCUGAGAGGAUGAUCAGUCACACUGGAACUGAGACACGGUCCAGACUCCUACGGGAGGCAGCAGUAGGGAAUAUUGCGCAAUGGGGGAAACCCUGACGCAGCAACGCCGCGUGGAGGAUGACACUUUUCGGAGCGUAAACUCCUU